UAGGGCAUUUUAGGACACUGUGUCUUCCGUUUUUCAUGUUGUCUCGCUGGAAGUUUACCGGGCUCUUAUUCUGUAUUCAUACCAGGCCCAUCUGCUAUUUUGGUUUGGCUCAUUUGCAAACACAAAAAGCUUAGGUCAAGCGGAGUGACUCUUCCGAUCUUAAGCACGCCAACCACCGCUGCUACAUCUUCCGUUGUCGGCUUACAUCUCCUUAAAUCCUACGUUCUACCCACUACACCUCCCACUCUCUCGCAUCUGAACGGCCUCAUCAUCAUCCGUCUAUAAAUGUUCCUUGCUUGCGAUGAAUACCCUGUUACGAAAUCUCAAAGGUCAAAUUCCGUCUAUAUAUAUAUAUAUAUAUAUAUAUAUAUAUAUAUAUAUCUCUCUCUCUCUCACGCUCAACACCAUCGCAGGUUAGUGUUUUCAAUGGGCAAAGUGUGAUUCUUAGGAAUUGUUUUAUGGGGAUGAUGAAUACUUAUAUAUCUUGGCUGUGUGUUUUAGAAGUGAUCCGAUAACUACUUGACGUUUUGGAUUCUUGGGGUUUCACUAACGAGAUUGCAGUGAGUUGUGAAGGCGAAAGAACAAGUUGUAGAAGGGAAGAUGCGUCAUCUUCCGUGAAGAAGAAGCUAUACGUAGCAAAAGUGUGGGUGCGGAACUUCAAAAAGUUCAAGAGUUCAAUCAUGCCGGUAAUGAUGCCCCCAACAUUUCUCCUUCCUAUCUUGGCUGCAAAAAACAUAUGAGCAUGGAUCCGUAUGGAGGGGAGUUCCAAGGGUUUGGAAAACCAUGUACCAAAAGCAACAAGUGGAUCAGGAUUCAAACUGAUAACGGAUGGUGUUAUAUUCCAAGGUAAAAAUUCUCCAAGAAGCUAUAGCAAGGGGUAUCUUCCUUCUCAUGCAUCGCAUGUGAUGAUUCCAACGCUGUCGGCGUCGUCAGGUUUCUGCUGAUCAAAGAGAGAGAUUGGCUUGCUCAGUCUAAAGAUUUAAUCAGAGAGAGUAGAAAAACCAUGAUGGAGACGGAAGAUCUUGGUGUCUCAGCUCUUCAGGAUCUUAGCCGGCACCGACAAACUUUCCUUCACUCGCAUAGCAAGGUUUGCUUGAUGGUGUGGAUGAGGACGAGCUUUCAAGGCUAUCUCUUUCCUCCUUUGUCGUUCUUGUCAAAAACAGUUGUGGAGUAGGCCUAUUGUGGAGAGAAAGCAUCAACAAUAGCAGAUGCAGACACAAUAGUGAAUGGCUCCACAACAUCAGAAGCAUAAGCAGCAUUAGUGGUUGCUAAAAGAGGUGAGUCUGGUGGUCAACAAGGCUCUGUUAUACAUCUUCUCGCCAACCAUAUUCUUGUCAAGUUUGAUCCUGCACAGAAGAUUUACCAUUACAACGUUGAGAUCUCUCCACAAGCCCUUCAAAGGAAAUCGCUGGGAUGAUCAAACAAAAACUCGUGGAGACUGAGCAUAGUAGUUUAUCUGGUGCUGUCCCUGCUUUUGAUGGUAGGAAAAACAUUUACAGCCCUGUGGAGUUUCAAGAAGAUAGGCUUGAGUUUUUGGCUAACCUCCCUAUCUCAUCCUGCAAUACUUAGAUCAAGUUUGGUGACCUGCGUUAGAAGCUACCUCGGAAGAAGAUUGAUAAACUGUUUAGGGAUAACAUGAGGCUUGUGUCCAAGUUUGAUUGGAAGGAGCAGAGAGAGGAAGUCGAUGGGAAGGAGCAGAGAAAGCAAGUCGAAAUCUGGGCUUCACUUCCUAGAGAAUGCAUUCAUGCUCUUGAGGGAGAAUUCAAUAGAGAAGUGUACAUCGCUUGGAACAUCUUCAUUAUUAAGUACUGUAUAAAUUGGACACCUCAUUAUCAUUUUUUAAGAAAAUUAUAAAUCAUCUCUAAGUGUCCGAUUGGUAAUGGCUGUAACUUUAAAAUUUUUGCUGUAGAAAAAAAUCUGUAAACUUUUUGCGGUGGCUUUAAA